GAACAAAGUUGGCCACCCACCCAACCUUUCAGACUUCUCCUGGAAAGCAGGAGGCCACCACCUGGUAUGCAAGACUGGUUCAACGGUCAAGAAAAAAAAAAAAUCAAUAUCAUCCCCCAAAAAUCAUUUUAGUUGAAGAAAAAGCAUCUGUUCAUGAUAAAAGUACCCAGAAACCAGGAAAAGGGGGUAACUUUCUCACAAAGAACAUUAAAAACUCCUUCACAUGCAAAGGUCCAACAUGCCUCCAGCCGAGCCUUUCUCCUUCCACCUCACCUUGCGCUGCUAAUGAAG
ensembl:lncRNA